GUGAUGCGUUUCUGUUCCUCAGCAUAUCCAAUAUGAACGUUAUAGAAAUAUGUGUUAUACACCACAACUCUCCACAGUCUGUGUAACGUCUUUAAUGUGUGUGUGAGAGAAUUAUUCCUGCUGAACUACAAUAAAGAGCAGAGAAAAGUCAGCAGGUGAGGCAGCUGUACUCUACCUCACCUCCAGGGGGCGUACUCACACACACACACA